CUUGCUCCUUGGGACCUCCCUACCCCAUUGAAGUUGGCAUUUUAAAAUACUUUAGGUUAAGGUAACAGUAGGGAUUAAGGUUAGGGUUAAGGUAACAGUAGGGAUUAGGGUUAGGGUUAAGGUAACUGUAGGGAUUAAGGUUAGGGUUAAGGUAACUGUAGGGAUUAAGGUUAGGGUAACAGUAGGGAUUAAGGUUAGGGUUAAGGUAACUGUAGGGAUUAAGGUUAGGGUAACAGUAGGGAUUAAGGUUAGGGUUAAGGUAACUGUAGGGAUUAAGGUUAGGGUAACAGUAGGGAUUAAGGUUAGGGUUGAGGUAACUGUAGGGAUUAAGGUUAGGGUUAGGGUAACAGUAGGGAUUAAGGUUAGGGUUAGGGUAACAGUAGGGAUUAAGGUUAGGGUUAGGUUUAGGGUAACAGUAGGGGUUAAAGUUAGGGUUAGGGUAACAGUAGGGAUUAAGGUUAGGGUUAGUUUAGGGACAUCCCAAGGAUCCCAGAUAGCACUGACCCAAGGUUUACAGUAACAAGGAAGUGCUGGUCGGUGACUGUUGGGUCAGAGUAGGGAAAUCACUUCAGUUUAAAUGGGUAUAAAAUACAGGAUAUACUGUAUGUAAUGUAGGCCACAUACGGACCGUUUCCACCAUCUCUCGCUGGGUGUGUG
rnacentral:lncRNA from 1 species